AUUACCGAGUGCGGGCCCCUCGGGGCCCAACCUCCCACCCGUGUUGCCCGAACCUAUGUUGCCUCGGCGGGCCCCGCGCCCGCCGACGGCCCCCCUGAACGCUGUCUGAAGUUGCAGUCUGAGACCUAUAACGAAAUUAGUUAAAACUUUCAACAACGGAUCUCUUGGUUCCGGCAUCGAUGAAGAACGCAGCGAAAUGCGAUAACUAAUGUGAAUUGCAGAAUUCAGUGAAUCAUCGAGUCUUUGAACGCACAUUGCGCCCUCUGGUAUUCCGGAGGGCAUGCCUGUCCGAGCGUCAUUGCUGCCCUCAAGCCCGGCUUGUGUGUUGGGCCCCGUCCCCCCCGCCGGGGGGACGGGCCCGAAAGGCAGCGGCGGCACCGCGUCCGGUCCUCGAGCGUAUGGGGCUUCGUCACCCGCUCUAGUAGGCCCGGCCGGCGCCAGCCGACCCCCAACCUUUAAUUAUCUCAGGUUGACCUCGGAUCAGGUAGGGAUACCCGCUGAACUUAAGCAUAUCAAUAAGCGGAGGAAAAGAAACCAACCGGGAUUGCCCUAGUAACGGCGAGUGAAGCGGCAAGAGCUCAAAUUUGAAAGCUGGCCCCCUCGGGGUCCGCAUUGUAAUUUGCAGAGGAUGCUUCGGGAACGGCCCCCAUCUAAGUGCCCUGGAACGGGCGUCAUAGAGGGUGAGAAUCCCGUCUGGGGAUGGGGUGGCCGCGCCCGUGUGAAGCUCCUUCGACGAGUCGAGUUGUUUGGGAUGCA
rnacentral:rRNA from 1 species